rnacentral:rRNA from 1 species
UUCGGGGGAAAGAUUUAUCGCCAUUGGAGCGGCCCGCGUUGGAUUAGCUAGUUGGUGGGGUAAAGGCCCACCAAGGCGACGAUCCAUAGCUGGUCUGAGAGGAUGAUCAGCCACACUGGGACUGAGACACGGCCCAGACUCCUACGGGAGGCAGCAGUAGGGAAUCUUGCGCAAUGGGCGAAAGCCUGACGCAGCCAUGCCGCGUGAAUGAUGAAGGUCUUAGGAUUGUAAAAUUCUUUCACCGGGGAAGAUAAUGACGGUACCCGGAGAAGAAGCCCCGGCUAACUUCGUGCCAGCAGCCGCGGUAAUACGAAGGGGGCUAGCGUUGCUCGGAAUUACUGGGCGUAAAGGGCGCGUAGGCGGACAGUUUAGUCAGAGGUGAAAGCCCAGGGCUCAACCUUGGAACUGCCUUUGAUACUGGCUGUCUUGAGUUCGGGAGAGGUGAGUGGAAUGCNCGGGUGUAGAGGUGAAAUUCGUAGAUAUUCGGCGGAACACCAGUGGCGAAGGCGACUCACUGGCCCGAUACUGACGCUGAGGCGCGAAAGCGUGGGGAGCAAA